AGACGACAUGUAGCGGACAAAUGUUCAAAGGUCACACUUGUAUUUCAAAAGUCAUGAUAUGAGAGUGCAUUUGUGGUCAUGUCCAGUCCAUAUAUGUGUUAUUCAGCGAGAGUUAAGAAUAAAAACGUGGUACUUUGAAACAAUUUGUCUUGAGUGAGAAAAGAAAUGUCGCAUAAAGUAAGAUUUCAGACAUAAAAGGUAAUAUUUCAUUUCAUAUAAAUAUUUUGAAGGUCAUGUCCGGUCAUGAAUUCUGUCAUUCAUUGGAUGGCUAUUGGGGUAACUAGGCAUACAUUUGUGGCACAUUAGGACUACUUGUAAUGUUCAAACACAAGGUUGAUAGCUAGAUAGGUCAAUUUAGAACGCUGAUGGUUGUGUCUAUAUCUUUGUCAUUUAUUCAUGGAUGCUUUUUAAAAUAAUGAGAAAUAAUGAAGAUAUAAAUAAAUGCUUCUUAAUUUUUCUAUUUUUUGUAAAACUUGUAAGACUACAGUAACCAUGCCUUCAAUGUAAAAAAAUGGAAAACAAGAUUAACAAACUUUAAGGUGGCGUUAUUUUUUAAAUAUUUACAUAUUGACCUUGACUCUUCAAAUUAUAAAUGAUCUAGAGUCCAUAAAGGUUUACACUAAUGCUAUUCUAUUAAAAUAAAGAAAACUUAAACAUCUAAUGGUAUAUUAAAAUGUGCAGGUUUUAUGUAAGACAUUUGGGAUCUCAGAUACCUGAUAAAGAUUAAUUGUCCAAAAAGAAUGACCUAUGAUAGUUUGAAAUAAUGAUAUAAAUUAAAGUGGGCAGUAUACCUACACAGUGUGUACAAUUCGACAUUAAAUGUUGCUCACAUCAUUAUACAAUUAUUGGUACACAUUCCUACAGAAGGAUCCAUUUGUUUAAAAGCACUUAAAUUACUUAUAUUUGUUAAAAAGGGUGUCCAUUUUGAAAUCAAAGAUGGCCGGCAUUGCAGUCAAUGUGUAAAGCAUGAAUAAUUAUCAGCCAAUUAUUCUUAAAAGUAAUUGAAACUUGAUUUCAUGCAGAUUAACGGACAUACGUUUCGAUAUGUACCAGAAAUGAUAAUUUUUUAAGUAGAUGGUAGAGGACAUUUUGAUUUGACCUUCAGAAGGUCAAGGACUUCUAGUACAGCCGUGAUAGAGCAAAAAAUGGCUUCAGCGUACCCGCUUGUACCUGCUUGUACUAAAAAAUGCCGUUAGACUCUUAACGGAGGCUCUUUUCUGAAAAUCAAACCCGUCUAUUUGAAAAAACCCGAAUAGGUAGAGUUUAUAUAUUAAGCAUGAAACAUUUUCUAGUAAGUGUCUACAAAGAUUGUUCAAAUAAAAGCCCUGGAGUCAAAACUGGCCCUGCCCCAGGUGUGUCAUUGUUUUUAACUAUAUGUGUAAAGAAAAAACUUUAAAAAAUCUACUUUUAAAAAUCCCAACGAGCUAGACCUUAGAUGUUUAGCAUGAAACAUCUUCUAAUUGUUGUCUACAAAGUUUGUUCAAAUAAAAGCCCCGGGCUUUAAACUGACCCAGCUCCGGGGGCCUAUGUACAGGUGAGCGACUUCAGGGCCAUCCAUCAUGGCCCUCUUGUUACAAAAAUAUUUUGUCAAAAAAACUUAUUUGUAUAUAAUCAUUGCUUGAUUAAAUUUACUUUAUAUAUUAUUUUUUAUAUCUGAUAAGUAUAUUUUUUUACUUAUUAUUUUUCAUUAUUUCAGGAUUACGAUGGUGAUGACAAUGACGACUUAAAUGAUUCGGAUUAUGUUGCCGAGUCUGAUGAGGGAGAUUCCACUGAUGAAGAUUUGUCCCUUUUUGCCCCUUAUUUCCAAAAUGCGUUACUGUCAAACUGGCUUACUUCCUUGACACAUUCAAUAAAAAUAUCCCAAUUGCUGGCUUUCAUACAUUCAUCAAUGGACUUUAUGUUUAUAGAUCUCAAAGUUAUUAGAAGGCGAGCUAAUUCUCUCAUUUUGUUUGAGGUGUACACAGUUUUGUAUUCUACUCCUUGCUUUUCGAAUUCACUCAUACUGAACUGUAAAAUUAAUGAAUCUGACACAACAGCUUGCUUCACAGAAUCAUCUCAUUAUGUUGAGAAUGUUUGUCUCAAAUUUUUCAUUUUUACUUAAUUUUGGAAGCAUCUUCUUUCCAGCUGCAAUUGGACCCAUUCUUAUAUAUCAGAGUUACAUUCAUUUCUUUUUUUAGUGCAUGACUUUUGGUGUUUUCAAAGCUCUUUUCUUAUAAAAUCCUGAACAGAAUUGACAUGAAAGCAGACUGCUUAUUUCACUUUCUUCUGCCUUCCUGUAUUUCGGAAUUAUCUGUCUAUGUCCUUUCUCAAGCACAGUAAAAUUAGGGGCAAAGUCCCCUUUGUUCACCAGCAUUUCCCAUGCUUUUCUUCUUUCCUUGCUUUUGGGUUUUAAGGCAAGAACUCUUCCAACUUCCAAUUCAUUACUGUGCGAAGUUCCCUAAUGCCUUGCAAUAUUCUGGUCCAAUUUAUAACAGAACAAACACGCAUGUGACUUGUUGCCUAUCGCCUUCCUGAAAAUGUACUACAAGUUGAAAAAUGUGAAAAGUUCUCCGAUGCAUCAACAACGGAACCAUUAAUAAAUUCAGUGGGUGUGACUUGGGGACAUUACCUUCAAUCCAGAUGAGGCUGUGGAGUCUGACUCAAGUGACAGUGAAGAUGACAAUGAUUCUUGUGAAGAUUAUUCAGAUAUCAAAGAAGGCAAAAAGGAAAACAAGGAUACUGGAAAUGUUGCAAGGACACAGAAGAGACACAGGCAAGAUGGUAUGGUUAAUAUUUUCAUUCAUUGCACCAUGGUUUAGUUAUCUAAAUAGUUAAAAUUAUUAUGUUUGAUUCCGGCAAAAUUAUGACCUCUGGCAUUUGGCUGUCCACCAAAAUAAUCAAGGUCAGUGUUAGCUAUUGACCCCAGAGUUGCAGAAUUUUAUUGAAUGGUAAGCGAAAUUAUGUAUCUGUGUAUCAGACUUAUAUAGGCAGAGUUAUGGCCCUUGACUUGACAUUUUAAUUUGUGGUUUGCAUUUCUCCU